rnacentral:rRNA from 1 species
GUUAAAACGCUCGUAGUCGGAUUUCGUGGUCGGGCGACAGGUCUCCUUCACAGGUGCACUUGUCGGCUUGCCAUUCUUACCGGAACGGCUGCACUUUUUUAACUAAACGUGCAGUUGGAACGGUUUAUUUACUUUGAAAAAAUCAGAGUGUUUCAAGCAGGCAGCUCGCUCUUGCAUGGAUUAGCAUGGGAUAAUGAAAUAGGACUUUGGUGCUAUUUUGUUGGUUUCGAACACCGAAGUAAUGAUUAAAAGGGACAGUCAGGGGCACUCGUAUUCCGCCGAGAGAGGUGAAAUUCUCAGACCAGCGGAAGACGAACCACUGCGAAAGCAUUUGCCAGGGAUGUUUUCACUGAUCAAGAACGAAAGUUAGGGGAUCGAAGACGAUCAGAUACCGUCGUAGUCUUAACCAUAAACAAUACCGACUAGGGAUUGGAGGAUGUUCACUAUCGACUCCUUCAGCACCUUACGGGAAACUAAAGUCUUUGGGUUCCGGGGGGAGUAUGGUCGCAAGGCUGAAACUUAAAGGAAUUGACGGUAGGGCACCACCAGGAGUGGAGCCUGCGGCUUAAUUUGACUCAACACGGGGAAACUUACCAGGUCCAGACAUUGUGAGGAUUGACAGAUUGAGAGCUCUUUCUUGAUUCGAUGGGUGGUGGUGCAUGGCCGUUCUUAGUUGGUGGAGUGAUUUGUCUGGUUAAUUCCGUUAA